GUGGGGAAUAUUGGACAAUGGGCGCAAGCCUGAUCCAGCAAUGCCGCGUGGGUGAAGAAGGUCUUCGGAUCGUAAAGCCCUUUCGACAGGGACGAUGAUGACGGUACCUGUAGAAGAAGCCCCGGCUAACUUCGUGCCAGCAGCCGCGGUAAUACGAAGGGGGCUAGCGUUACUCGGAAUUACUGGGCGUAAAGGGCGCGUAGGCGGCUCUGUUAGUCAGGCGUGAAAUUCCUGGGCUUAACCUGGGGACUGCGCUUGAUACUGCAGGGCUUGAGGCCGAGAGAGGGUGGUGGAAUUCCCAGUGUAGAGGUGAAAUUCGUAGAUAUCCGGAGGAACACCAGUGGCGAAGGCGGCUUCCUGGACAGUAACUGACGCUGAGACGCGAAAGCGUGGGGAGCAAACAGGAUUAGAUACCCGUGUAGUCC
rnacentral:rRNA from 1 species